GCCCGGGUAGCUCAGUCGGUAGAGCGUCUGACUUUGGCUCAGGUCAUGAUCUCAUGGUCUGUGAGUUCGAGCCCCAUGUCGGGCU